ACAUGUACAGUCCACACUCAUACAAUUUUUUAGGGCAAAAUCAUUUCAGCCUCCCCAAUUCCCUCCAUCUCUAUUCUCGUUCUCAACUCGGCCCUCUCUAUGUCUCUGCAACUGCAAAGUACAAAAUCUACAAGAAUCAGAACCCAUAUCGGCAUAUCAGAUAUGAUUUUGAAUAACGACGACGAUGAUGAUUUUGAAUCACCCACAAACCCUCAAGCGUCUCCAGCGAGGUCGCACCACCGAAUCCACAUCGGCCACCCAGAAGCGGUAGUUGUGGUGUAGUGUCGUGAAGUCUUCCAAAGGGACUGGGAAAAGACAACAACGAGAGCGUCAAUUGCAUGGCCUAUCAAGUACAUCAAAAUUUGUCAAAGCUAGGAUUGCGGGUUACGGUUGCAGUUACUUUUUUUGUUGCCGCUAUAUUUUUUGUAUGGCUCAUGAAAAAGUUGCAAGAAGAUAUGAAGAAUUUUUGUUUUAUUUUGGUUAAGUAAAUAUAUAAGGUGUGAAUCAUGUACUUCUUUCAGAUUUGUAUAUGGUUAAUUUUUGUAUUAAACAAUGAUUUGGAAUUGGUUAUAUAUAUAUAUAUGUAUCAGUUGUAAAUUAUUUUGGUUA